CAUACAGGAGAAUGCAUUUAAUGGUCUAUCAAAGCUAUCGAGUCUAGAUCUAUACAGCAACAGAAUAUCCAGCAUACAGGAGAAUGCAUUUAAUGGUCUGUCAAGUCUAUUGACUCUUUAUAUAUAUGGUAAUCCUUUUCUCUGUGAUUGCGACUUGAAAGGCUUUGUCAGAUUUCU